GAUGAACGCUGGCGGCGUGCUUAACACAUGCAAGUCGAACGGAAAGGCUCCUGCUUGCAGGGGUACUCGAGUGGCGAACGGGUGAGUAACACGUGGGUGAUCUGCCCUGCACUUCGGGAUAAGCCUGGGAAACUGGGUCUAAUACCGGAUAGGACCACAUUUUGGAUGGGGUGGUGGAAAGUUUUUCGGUGUGGGAUGAGCUCGCGGCCUAUCAGCUUGUUGGUGGGGUAAUGGCCUACCAAGGCGUCGACGGGUAGCCGGCCUGAGAGGGUGUACGGCCACCAUGGGACUGCGAUACGGCCCAGACUCCUACGGGAGGCAGCAGUGGGGAAUAUUGCACAAUGGGCGCAAGCCUGAUGCAGCGACGCCGCGUGGGGGAUGACGGCCUUCGGGUUGUAAACUCCUUUCGCUAGAGACGAAGCGCAAGUGACGGUACCUGGAGAAGAAGCCCCGGCUAACUACGUG
rnacentral:rRNA from 1 species